AAAAAAGGCAAACCGUUUGAAAAAACGGGACGCAAAGCUUAGGGUCUAAGGGAACGAAUACAAUCUUUCCUAUGAUCGCCUGGUUACCUA
rnacentral:ncRNA from 1 species